rnacentral:misc_RNA from 1 species
AUUCGCGGUUGAAUCGGUGUUCCUUUAUCAACCGAGUCGGCCAGGCCAACGGAAGAAAAGAUCGGACUCGAAGACAAGGAAAGAAGGAGGGGCUAGAAUUCACCAAGUGACGGAGUUUUAAUCGUUUACCAAUUUAUGGACCGAUAGAAUGUGCACGAGUUGUGUUUUGUAGCGUUCUGUUCAUUUGACGAUCGAGAUUCGUAUCUGGAAAAGACAGGCGCACCGACGCAGCUCGAUUUUAUAAUCGAGCCAACGCAGCGUGGCGUUCCGGUGAUCGUUAACCUGACGCGUCCUCCCGCUAUUUUAAUCAGUUUGAUUUCUCGUUUGAUCUUUCUGAUAUCUACGAUUUCCACUGAAUCUACUUCUACUAUAAUCAAAAUCAAGAUAAAUCGAUUUUCCCUGAAGAAACGAUUGUUCGAACGAAACGAAACUCCGAUAGAGACGUAGGAUCGGGCGCGAGAUUUUCAUGCGACGUUCCUGGUCUUGGUUGGCGGCCCUGCUGGGUGGGCAACGAUAUGAGUCAUUCGGUAACUUCAACUUAUGCAAAAUUCUAGUAGCGGAACGUUAAACUAAGAAAAGAUUAAUAUCAAAAAUUGAAGUCGAUUAAGAUCUUAGUACCGGAAUACGUGUACGACUGGUGUCUAAUUUUCCAGAAGGUGAUUGAUUGUUCUUAUUGUCGAUAGAGUUGACUCAUUUAUCUAUACGUACGAG